CAUAAAAUGUGAUGCCAGGGGAAAGAAAGGCAUGCCUUUUUGAGUAGAUUGGAGCUAAUUUGGCCUAUAAAAUGUCCAAAACAUGUGUUUUUGCGAAAAAUCUCCAGGUGUCAGUGGGUUAAGCUGUAUGGAGACCAGAUGUGUCAUAGUAAGUUCUGGCCUGAUAUGUUUUUUUUACCUAGACUUGCCAAAAGGUGUGAAUGAUAUCAUAUGUAUUUAAGAGAUAUUCCAGUCUCUAUACCAGAGGAGCAAAACUACACAGACAUUCCCUUCUCGAAUCCCUCACAACAGUACAAAAAGAGUUUGCCAACUUAGAACAGAUAAGUUCUGUCUAGGUUCUUCUGUCAAUCAAAAAGAUCAAACUUUCUCUUUGAAUUCUAUCAUUUGCAUCACCUACUGUACACCACUUUUAUAGCAUGCUCUAUAGAAUAUUUUCUUUCAUUCCCUGAUGAUGCCCUAGAACGGCAAAAGCUUGGAAUUAAAAUACAGUACAGUAGCUCAAGGCCUCAAUUGAAUCAAUAUAUUUAUUUCUCUUUGGAAAUUUCUACUUAGGUCAUGAUUUACAUCUUUUAGAAAUGUUUCAUACAUAGUGCAAAUACUUUAUGAAAAGUUUCUACUUUGGUAGGAAGGUGCUACUCCCUGGGGUGAGAGAUCUUUAGAUUUAAUGUGACAUGAAACUCUGAAGGAUUAUUUGGAGAAGUUGAAAUUUGGAUUUGAGAAUUUUUCCCAGCAGUAUUUCUUUGGGUUCAGUGAAAUUUCUUUUAGGUUAGUACUGUGUGUUUUUCACUCAUUGUUCUUUAUAGUCUCCAUGUUGAUAUUAAUUAUAAAAUUUAAUUGAUUUGCUUUAGACUGGAGACAGCUUAUACAUGUUGCUGCUAUUGAUUGUGCAGAAGAACGUAAUCUCGCCACUUGUGUCCAUUAUAACAUAGAAGGUUAUCCGUCUGUAAAGUUUUUUAAUGCUUCAGCUCCCAUCUCUAAUCUAGGAGAAACAUAUCUAGGAGAGAAGACUCUACUUAAUCUUCUUCAUGAAAUGGUCAAGGUAGCUGAACUACAGAAGUCUUUAGGUUUGGUUC